rnacentral:rRNA from 1 species
AGCAGUAGCCACGGAAUACAGAGGGUGCGAGCGUUAAUCGGAUUUACUGGGCGUAAAGCGUGCGUAGGCGGCUUCUUAAGUCGGAUGUGAAAUCCCUGAGCUUAACUUAGGAAUUGCAUUCGAUACUGGGUAGCUAGAGUAUGGGAGAGGAUGGUAGAAUUCCAGGUGUAGCGGUGAAAUGCGUAGAGAUCUGGAGGAAUACCGAUGGCGAAGGCAGCCAUCUGGCCUAAUACUGACGCUGAGGUACGAAAGCAUGGGGAGCAAACAGGAUUAGAUACCCCUGUAGUCCCUGUCUCUUAUACA